AUGGAGCAAGAAGGCAGUUUCCCAUGGUGGCCAUCACACUUCAGAAUUCCACUCUCAGAGCCUCCAGCCACCCCCUUUCUGAGCAGACACGCUUCCUCCUGGAGACGGUCUUCUCUUCGGCCUUUGCUCCACGUAGACGUCCUGCAUCCUGCAGGGAGCAGCAUGAGGUGGCUGCGCUUGGUUCCAGAUGCCCUGGGGGCACCAUGCUGGCAUGUGUCAUCCUGCUGCAGCCUCAGCCUGGGGGUGCCUGGUGCACCGCACGUCAGAGAACGCACCCAGAAGGGCUGCCCUGGGCUCCGUCCCGAGGAUUCAGGGGGUCAGUGCUCAGCGGGCAUCGCUGGAAGGUGCUGUCCUUUAUUAGCACAGUGGUCCCCAACCUUGCUGGCACCAGGGACUGCUUUCGUGGAAGACAACUUUUCCCUGGAUGGUGUGGGUGGGGGAUGGUUUCUGGAUGAUUCACGUGUAUUACAUUUAUUGUGCAGUUAUUACUACAUCAGCUCCACCUCCGAUCAUCAGGCAUUGGACCCCGGAGGUUGGGGACCCUUGCUUCAGCACAAAGCUUCACACAGCGCCAGAGAGGAGGCCACGAGGGCAAGGUGAUCAGUUUUGUGCUCUUCUGAAGAUAAAAGAAGUUCACGUUGUAGACCCAGGCUGAUGGGGCACUGAUUCUGCCCUCAGCCACAGCCACACCCCGACAAGUAUCGACCUGAUUGUAUUGUCUUCUCCUCCAGUCCUGGACUCAACCCACAGUGGGAAGGACUGGCCUAAGCUCCCCGAGACUGAGACCCAUUACACUCAGAUGGCAGGGUGACCACAGAGGCACAGGACCUGGGAAGGCCUGCAGGCUCGCUUGUCCUGUGCCUCGCUGUCCCAGGCCAGGGGCUCUGGACUCUCGGAUGCCCCUGUGAGGAUGUUCGUCCUCCCAGGAGGUGGAAUGGGAAAUACCCCCAUGCCAGGGGGCAGCACCAAAGGCCAAACGCUGGGCUGGGGGACAGAGCGAUGCAAUUACAUCAUCAAUUCUUGUUCUGCAUCAGACCUUAAAAAGAUAAUACAUACAUAACCCAAAAAUGUUUUAGGUCAUUCUUCCAAGGAGUUUGAAAUUCAAGUAAAAUUCUUGUCAAGGCUUUUCAUCCUCAUCUCCAAUAGCCCAUGCUUCUAAACCUGCCACCUCUUGGAAAGAUGGUUUUCUUCUUCCUGAAGAAUUUAUUCAGGGUUCCCAAAUGGAUGUUGCCAAAGGGGCCCUCUGUGAGCUCUGGCUUGUCUGCCAGCCCCAAACCCAGGGCCGUGGGCUGGGAGAGGACGGUCUUCAGAGGAGGGGUGGACAGAAAGGCCUGGGCUGGCAGGGCCCUGCUCCAGCAGCAGCUCAGGCCACCUGCGGCACCAGCUUCGGGCACAAAUCCUUCGUGUUCCUCCAGUCAAUCCCAUGGGUCCUUAAAUGCCCUUAUUCACUGGGCUCCCCACUUCUACCCAAACUGCACAAAAUUCUUGUUUGUUUUCUAGGGGUUUUCACUUAUAACCCCUAAGAGGUGAAGGGCUUAGAAGUCUGAACUGCCCGCCAGCACUGUGUCUCUGACCCGGCCAUCUGGGGGUCACAGUCAGGUUUGGACUGAGCACAGCCUCUGGACUUAGUCCACUGAGACAGUCACGUCUUAGAUGGUUCAGAGCCCACCCAGCCCCUGGGGCUCCCACGGUAGGCUCUGAAAAAGCAACUCUCUCAGCUCAUUCCCUCAGAAGGCUUUACAACAGUAAAUACCUAGACUGACUCUUGUUACUUUUGCAAAUGAUUUUGAAUGUAUAGCUGUCAUAGCUGGUUUCUCAAACGUCAGUAAAGACCUUUGUGCCCCUCCCAUCACACUCCUAUUCUGAAUAUUUCAUUUUCAUUCUACCACCUCAGUAGAAUCUCCAGAUGAGUUUGUGUCUGGCGUGUUUGUACACUUGGUCAUGCGAUCUUCUGUGACACUCGACAUUAUGCCUGAAGUGCGUACAUCCACUCUCUCUCUAUCCGUGUCUAACCAACUGCUUCACCUAGUCACUAUUUUUUCAAACCCAUUUGGUCACUUUUGAGUGUCUCUUUUUGCUGCUCAGGUUUGAUUCCAUUUCCAUUUCUUUAAAUACCUUAUACGCUGUUACUAUGUGUUAUCUAUCUCAUAGCACUGAUAUCUGAAGCUCCUGCGUGGUAAAAUCUACCACCUGGUGUUUCUGCUGAUUUUCAUCUCGUGCAGUCUCUGCAUGUAUUUGGCCAUUUGGGGGUUUCUGUGAGGCUGACUUGCUCAGGGAGCAUCCUCACAGGCGUAAGAUGAUGUUUUUCUCUGGAGCAAAUCUGUUGACUUCUUCCUCUACUGAGGACAUUGUGAAGUGAAAGUCACUCAGUCGUGUCUCUUUGUGAGCCCAUUUGAUUAUACAGUCCAUGGAAUUCUCCAGACCAGAAUACUGAAGUGGGUAGCCUUUCCCUUUUCCAGUGGAUCUUCCCAACCCAGGAAUCGAAUCAGGGUCUCCUGCAUUGCAGGCAGAUUCUUUACCAAUUAAGUGGGCCCACUUAAUUUCUUUAGAUUUCCCCUUGCUCUGUAGACGCGGGCAGAAUUAGUCCCACUCCAGGACCCCACAGUGCAGGAGAGAGACUCUUCUACCCAGAGCUGAGACGGAGACAGCUCAGCGUCCUGUCUUACUGUGAGAAGGGCCUCCUUCUCAGGUGGGCAGCCCUCUCUAUGCGAGGUCUCAGCUGAGCUGCCCCCAGUGCACACACCCAGGGCCUGGUCUCUCGCUUCUUUCUGUGCUGGAAUACUGGUACCGUAGAGCACUGCUAGUAGAGAGUACUCAUAACACAGGGUAUUGGUGUCAGCACGUGACCCGGAAGGUCCGUAUUUCUGUCCAUUCUGCCGCCAGCAGCUCGUUAGGUGUUGUUAUGGGACAAGGCUGCUGUGUGUGUUGUGGGGGGAGGGUGGACAGAGCUGGGACAUUUCCCCGUUUCCUAAGAUGUGUUUUUAGAAGUGUGGUUCUUGCAUUUAAAUGGGCUGUGGGGGCAGUGCUGCAGGAGGCCUUUUGAGAAAUCUCAUAUGCCAUCUGCCAGGAGAAGGAACUGGAAGUCUCAGUAGGAUUUCAGUCUCAGUAGGAUUUCAGUCUCAACCAGAAACUCUGUGGAAGCACCCGUAUGACCCACAAACAUGGGGCCCUUGCUGGGCUGGGCACUUGGCUCAGAUUUCCUCUUUCCCCACGAUGAACUCGCCAUGGGGUCUCUGUACACCAUUUCUCAAAAAGGGCCUCUGUUCAGUGCUGCCCCAACCUCUGCCAGGUUUCUGAACCUGAGUGGCUGUGAGCCCAGGUGCCCUGCUGUGAGCCCAGGAGAUCCCAGCAGAGAAAUCCAUCUCCUGGGCAGCAGCCAAUGACACCCCCGGAAAGAAGGCUGGUUCCCCGACACUGCUGAAGACAUCAGCUCCAUACAUCAGGCUACCUGGCUUCUCCGUGAUGGCGCGUCGGUCAGGUUCCUCUGCAGACACACACGAUGGUGUAGCAAAGCCGAGACACCUCUGCAGAGAAAACCCAAACCCCCAACCUCAGGAGCAGGGGAGCAGGGGAGAAAGGCCUUGGGCUGAUGGCUGGCUUGUCCCCAGACAUCGCAGCAAAGCCUUCCACGCCCUUUCUAGCCAACGCAGCAUGACCACCAAGGAGAUGAUCUUAACAGGAGAUGGCGCUGCCGUUUUCUGAAGAGUGAAUCACAUGUGAACAGCUCCGCAUGGAGAAGAAAUCAAGUGAGGGCCUGGAUACUGAAGGGCAGAACAAGGCUCAGGAGAGGUGCAAGCUCCCCAGGAAGUGGUCUCUCAAUAAAAGCCGCAGGACUGUCCCGAGCAAGCUGUGACUGAGCUGUGACCGAGCCAACAUCAUCAAAGAUGCUUUGUUGUGUGGAUUCUGAGGAUGGUCCACACGUGCUGAAGGGGGCAGAGGAAACCUCCGAGGAGUGUGUCCAAGGUCUGGGCCAGUUAGGAAGCUCCUCCUCUUGGACAGAUGUCCAGAUACAACCUGUGUCCCAAGGGCACAGAGGAGACUGGUGGCUAGAUUCAAACCCUCCAUGGGAAGGACAUUUGGUGAUUCUCACACCUUUGUCCCAGGAUGGGACCAGGCUGAGGAGACCCCAAGAGAACGAGGGUCGCUUCAGUGUCCUGAGGCCACAAGGGCAGUCAGUGUUCAAACCCCAUCUUUGCUUGAAAGCACAGGGUCUCCUAUGUAAGGUCCUGCCUGAACAUCCCAGCACACCAGGAUGAAGGCUGAAGAAGCUGCAGCAAGCACGGCAUUUAAAGAAUUGACACAUGAAAGAUAGAAAACGCAGAAGACGGGAGGUUUUGAAGAAGAUGCGUCUGAAAAAGUUGCUCAAAAGAGGGCCCAAAGAGUGUCUGAAGAAGCCAGUUCCAACGGUUUGAAAAGAACGAUCUCAAGAGAACCGAGGCUCAAAAGAGAUGAUGAAGACAGUCUGGAGGGGACCCUGAGCAGGCACCUGGGGG
rnacentral:lncRNA from 1 species